AUGACGUAAAUUCACAUCAAUAUUACGCCUUCUCGCUACAUUCAUUAGAAAGAGCAUCGUUUGAUAUACUCUUGGUAAAAAAAAUUAGCUCAAAACUCCCACAGCAAAGUUGUAAAAAGUGACAAUAAAGCCCGUAUAAAACGUUCGAAAAUCGGCGGCCAUUGCUUGAGCUAGCUCGAUUUGGAGAGCACUUAUGACGUCACUUCCCCAACAAGUCGGCUCAUUAAAUUCAGAACCAUUGGCAAAUAGAGGUGUAUACUUGGUGCCUGGCCUCCAAACAUCAAUAUGGAGCGGUUAAUUGGGAAGAAAGACGGGCCUGUUUUUAAAUUUGAUUACCUGACUGAGAUCUAGAAGAAACCUUCCGCAUUCUAAGCCCCUGGUAGCCGAAGAAAACCGCCUUGAAUUACGAGCGUCUGCUAUAAAAAGCGAUCAUCUGCCGACCACGUGCGUAAUUUCAACACGAAAGGAAUCAACAAGUCCACCUCUACAAGGGUACGACUCUUAACAAGAUAUCUUUUAGAUUGUUCUUGGGUUACUGUAGUGUGUCAGAAGUGUGUUGGCACAACUAUGCUCAUUACCUCUAAUCCCUCACUGCCUAAUACAGUUUACAGUUUGCAGCAAAAGUUUGGUUUUUUUUCAUUUUUUUUCAUUUUGGAAUAAGCACCGUUUUAAACUAUCUAAAAAUAGUUAGCUUGGAGGCUGUCACAAAAUAUUCUAAUGCAUGGGAAAUUAAAUAAAAUAUGGAACUAA